rnacentral:rRNA from 1 species
CCUACGGGAGGCAGCAGUGGGGAAUAUUGCGCAAUGGGCGAAAGCCUGACGCAGCGACGCCGCGUGAGGGAUGAAGGUCUUCGGAUCGUAAACCUCUGUCAGCAGGGAAGAACGGUCACUGUGCUAAUCAGCAGUGAAUUGACGGUACCUGCAAAGGAAGCACCGGCUAACUCCGUGCCAGCAGCCGCGGUAAUACGGAGGGUGCGAGCGUUAAUCGGAAUUACUGGGCGUAAAGCGCUCGUAGGCGGUAUGUCAAGUCAAGGGUGAAAUCCCCGCGCUCAACGUGGGAACUGCCUUUGAAACUGGCAAACUGGAGUGUGUGAGAGGAUAGUAGAAUUCCAGGUGUAGGAGUGAAAUGCGUAGAUAUCUGGAGGAACAUCAGUGGCGAAGGCGACUAUCUGGCACAUAACUGACGCUGAGGAGCGAAAGCGUGGGUAGCAAACAGGAUUAGAUACCCUAGUAGUC